AAUCGUGCAAAGGUGGUGCGUGUGUAGACAACUGCGCUUGUAAGGAUAAGGGCUGCAACGACUGUUCUUCUAAAGGCGGUUGCUGCUAAUCCUCACCAUGGAGCCAGGCCGCCGGCCGUCGCUGUUCACGCGCGCCUCCAACUUCCUCGAGACCUGCUUCCCCAUCACCUUCAGUAUCGUCUUCAUUGUUACCCUUGUCUUCUUCUACUGUCUAAUAUAAAUCGCUUGUUGAACUAA